UGCUCGGCAACUGAUACUCUUUUUCUCCAGCUCGCGGCACCGCUGGCAGUCAGCUGUCAGCUCAAAAUACAUAAACAAGACAAGUAAAUACGAUUGCAGGAAGUUUAAGCAAAAACCGUCGAAUUGUCAGUUAAGCUUGGCAAAAUAUCAUCAAAAAGAUUAUAUCGCAUUUUUUAAGCCACAGACAUUACUUAGUACAAAUUGUUGAGAGAUGGCUGAGUUAGUUUUGGAGCGUACUUGCAGACUCGAUUCCUGUUUGUCUGCAGUUGGGAGUGCUAAGCUGGACAACACUGAAGCUAUCAUUAAAAGAUUUUUCAACUCUGCAAAGGACUUAAAUACUUACCUUUUGAAAGCUUAAAAUUUAUAUUUAUCACUUUAUUGUACAUUUACUUACCUUAAACCUUGAAAACUAUUGUGAAUUAUUUUGUAGCUGCCUCAUAGGCAAACGAGCAUUUUGUAAUUAUUUGGUCGCUAUCCUCGCAAACAGCCGGAUAGUAAUUGAAAUCCCGCUCUCAUACAAUUCAUAUAGUAUAUAAACCGAAUAAACUUUAGCGAUUAAUUUCCGAAA